GUGAAUCAUCAAAUCUUUGAACGCAAAUUGCACUCCCUGGUAUUCCGGGGAGUAUGCUUGUUUGAGGGUUAGUUGGUCAUAAUCGUAAAAAGAAAUUUUUACGGAUCUGUAUUUUGCACAAGUAAUAUUCUCGGUAAUCUAUAAUUUAUAAUAACAAUAGGUGAUAUUGGGAAUGUUUAUUUUUGAUUCAUUAACAAUUAUUACCAAAUAUGUUACGUCGUGUUAUUUUCCUAUUUUC
rnacentral:misc_RNA from 1 species